UACGUAGGGGGCGAGCGUUGUCCGGAAUCAUUGGGCGUAAAGAGCUCGUAGGCGGUUUGUCGCGUCGGCUGUGAAAACCUGGGGCUCAACCCCGGGCCUGCAGCCGAUACGGGCAAACUAGAAUUCGGUAGGGGAGACUGGAAUUCCUGGUGUAGCGGUGAAAUGCGCAGAUAUCAGGAGGAACACCGGUGGCGAAGGCGGGUCUCUGGGCCGAUAUUGACGCUGAGGAGCGAAAGCGUGGGGAGCAAACAGG
rnacentral:rRNA from 1 species